UAGGACCUGUAUACGCUUAAAACAUUUUUACAAAUUUCCAACAGCAACAUCACCAAAAUGCUACGACAGCAACAACCCAGAACUGAACUCCACAGCCUGGUUUUCAGAGUACAUCGGAUCUUUCAUAACUUUCCUCACUGUGGCGGAUCUUCAGUCAUUUGGAUCUGAACUGGUAUUUUUUCCUCACCUGGACAGUGCAGUUCUCUUUUUUUGUUUGUUUGUUUCUUACAGAGAGAAAAACAUGUUAUAUCUACUGUUUGAAAAAUUUUAGAUUUAAUUGGUUUCUUCUCUUUUCAGUACCUGCAGCUGUUUACAGUGAAUCGUCAGAAUCUUGUGCUUCUGAAGAACAAUAGAGUGGAUCUGACAUUAAUCAUCUACUACAUUCAGUUAGUUUAUCAACAAGACAUCAACUUCAGUCCACUUGAGUAAGUUGAAGACAAUAAAAUAUGUUUUAUAUCCUGCAGCCACAAAUCAUACACAUGACCACCAAGUAUGUCACCUUAAACUGUAAAAUCUGUUUUCACUCUCUUUGAAGCCUUCCUCCAUCGGGUCAGUGCUUUGCUCCUGGUCGGGUGUUCACUCAGUUGACUACACAAGAAAGUUUGACAGUUUUGGGAAAUGUCAACAGUUUUUGUACAGACCUAGAUCCACAGAUUGUUGCUGCUUUGACAAGUAAUUUUGGUGAGAACAUUGAUGCCCAAGUCAUUUCUGCCCUCGGUAAUGAAAGCAGCAGCUUGUCCAUAAGCCAGAUAAAUUCUGUGAAGCCUUCAGACUUGGUGGAUUCUCUCAGGAUUCUCAGCAAUGUGAUUGGUUGGAGAAAAGGACAGGCUAAAGCCAUUGUCCAGUCUUUGCUGUCGUCAGGAUUUUUACAGGUACUGUUAGUAUGUGUUUAUUAGCAACCAGACAAAAAUUUGAACAAAGUGUUGACAUUUUUUUCUUUCUUGCUACCUUCUACAUCCAAUCAGAUCAACAGCUCAGCCUCACUGUUAAACUUGGGCUCCCUCAUCCCUGGCGUCCCAUCAACUUUGUUCAGCGGCAUCAGCGGCUCUGAUCUUGUCCCUGUAUCUCCCUCACUCCUGUACUACAUACAGUCUGCUCCACGGAUUGUCCAGCUGUUCUUUGUGAUAAGGGUAAGACUAAUGAAGAACUUAAGAGGAAAAAAUGGGUGCCUACUUGCAUUACAUCUUUGUUGUAUGCUUUAAGAACAUACAUUUAAGCAAAACUUGGACAUGUCC
rnacentral:lncRNA from 1 species